rnacentral:lncRNA from 1 species
CUGCAUAGCACCAGUCAGUGCCUGAUCUGGUGAGCUAAGGCAUCGAGCAGCGGUGGAUCUAUUAUGGCCAGAGAUUGUACUAUAAUGGUCUAUGGACAGUACUACUCUGGCUGUGAUGGAUGGAUUGUCAAUAGAAAGUGGUGGAGUUCUAUGCUCUUGUCCGCACCAUCUCUUUUUUCUCUAAAAAAUGGGUUGUGCCAUUCCUCUAGUGUCAAUCUAUUGCCGUAAGACUUAGAAAAAUGACUGA